rnacentral:rRNA from 1 species
GAUGAACGCUGGCGGCGGGCCUAAUACAUGCAAGUCGAGCGAACGGACGAGGAGCUUGCUUCUCUGAUGUUAGCGGCGGACGGGUGAGUAACACGUGGAUAACCUACCUAUAAGACUGGGAUAACGUCGGGAAACCGGAGCUAAUACCGGAUAAUAUUGUGAACCUCAUGGUUCAAAAGUGAAAGACGGUCUUGCUGUCACUUAUAGAUGGAUCCGCGCUGCAUUAGCUAGUUGGUAAGGUAACGGCUUACCGAGGCAACGAUGCAUAGCCGACCUGAGAGGGUGAUCGGCCACACUGGAACUGAGACACGGUCCAGACUCCUACGGGAGGCAGCAGUAGGGAAUAUUCCGCAAUGGGCGAAAGCCUGACGGCGCAACGCCGCGUGAGUGAUGAAGGUCUUCGGAUCUUAAAACUCUGUUACUAGGGAAGAACAUAUGUGUAAGUAACUGUGCACCUCUUGACGGUACCUAAUCAGAAAGCCACGGCUAACUCCGUG